GAUGAACGCUGGCGGCGUGCUUAACACAUGCAAGUCGAACGGUGAAGCAGAGCUUGCUCUGUGGAUCAGUGGCGAACGGGUGAGUAACACGUGAGCAACCUGCCCCUGACUCUGGGAUAAGCGCUGGAAACGGCGUCUAAUACUGGAUAUGAGCUGCGAUCGCAUGGUCAGCAGUUGGAAAGAUUUUUCGGUCUGGGACGGGCUCACGGCCUAUCAGCUUGUUGGUGAGGUAAUGGCUCACCAAGGCGUCGACGGGUAGCCGGCCUGAGAGGGUGACCGGCCACACUGGGACUGAGACACGGCCCAGACUCCUACGGGAGGCAGCAGUGGGGAAUAUUGCACAAUGGGCGAAAGCCUGAUGCAGCAACGCCGCGUGAGGGAUGACGGCCUUCGGGUUGUAAACCUCUUUUAGCAGGGAAGAAGCGAAAGCGACGGUACCUGCAGAAAAAGCGCCGGCUAACUACGUG
rnacentral:rRNA from 1 species